ensembl:lncRNA
AGCAGGCAUAAGGAAAGCCCAUAAAGCCCAGAGCUUUAAGACAGAUUCUAAUCACCAAAUGUCUUCUGCAAGAGCAGCAAUUUUCAGAGACCCAAACUGCUUAUUGGCCCUUUAUGAUGACCGAGUGAAAAUUAUACUUUGAGCCACAACCUCACUCUCCACCCAGAGAUAAUUAACCAGCUGUACCCGUGUGUUAUAGUUUAACUCACAGAGUUGCCAAACUGGCAGCUCCAGUCUAGACCACAUGUCUGAAAACUAACACAUGCAUGGUUAAGAAAAUAUAAUCAUCGCUUCUAUGUCAAUGUUCAUGUUACAGGCCUGAAUCACUUUAGCUUUUUUUUCUUUUAGAAAAAGAAACUUGGGUCUUGAUUCAUCACCAUCAUUAAGGCAUCCCAGUGCUACAAAGGAAUAAAUGGUUUAACGGAUUUGGUUUAUUUCAGUGAUCUACAACUAUAAGUUCCAUGUUUAAAAACGCACUUUACAAAAGGUACACCCUAACUAUGAGGGAAGGAUGGUAUAGAAGCAAAAAAACACAUUCAGUGGUUCCCAUACAAAAGCUAUUACCAACAGUAGAUGAAAUACUUAUAUUGCAAUAAUGCAAUAAAACACAAUAAUGGAUGAAAGACUACAAAGCCACUGUUCGACUCCGAACUGCUGCAGGCCAACAAUGUUGGCUUUCAGUGAACUCAUGGAGGAAGGAAGGGAGGGAAGACAAGCUCAUGUGGAACUUUGAAUUGGAAGGUGUUGAAGGUUUUUGUUUCAUGAAACAAAGUGAUACAGUAACUUUAAUAAACUAUCAACAAAGCCAUUCAACCACACCAGAGCCUGAAGCAUCAAAACGCAUGUGAAGUCCAUUUCCAGACUAUGUCAAAAGAGAUAUCUGAAUAUCUGGAUCUCACUAAGCUCUCAAACCUCAAAAACAAGAAGCCAGAGCCAGUCCUGGAUUUAUGCACAAUUUUCUUCCCUAUGGGACUCCAAACAGCACCUACUGCAGAAUGUACAAACAGAUUCCUUUCUUGGAAGUACAGAUAUUCAAACCACAGCUGUGAAUUUUAAGCACUAUGACUCCAGGCGACUUGAUCUGCAUGUUGAACCUGAGCCCGUUUUCACCCAAAGUCUGAAAACCAUGUCCGCUCUAGUCCAAACAACUCCAUUCGUACAGGCCGAAUGCCAUGAACAUCACAGACAUCAUGAAAACAACACACACUGACUGCAUGGGGGGAAAUCCUGCCUCCUGAUACACAACACAGAGUAGGAAGAAACAAACUGAAAAACUGAAAUCAAGCCAGACGUAAACAAUUAAAACAACAACAAUAAUAAUCACAAUUUCUUUCAAUAGUGUUACUGAGAAUGGAGGCAGGGGGAACAGAACAUUUUCCCACAAUAAAGCUAUUCAACCAAAAAAAAGGCUGAUGCUGGAAGACAAAAGGCCUUCCUGAUAACAAUGCAUUCCCUCUCCGUUCAAACACCAACUCUCUCUCGUCACCCUGAAAAGGCCAGGCUGAGCUGUCUACUAAAGCCACAUAUCUGCGCUGAUGAAUGCGCUUAGCACUCUCUUUUGAGUGCUUCAGAACCAUAUACAGUGUGUUUGCUUCUUGUAUGUACUGUAUUGUGUGUAUAGGCGAUUAUGGUGGGCUGUAAGGGCUGUAACACAUUAACAAACCAAAAAACCCAACAGCAAAUCAGAAAAUGCAACAACAAAGCCAGAAACACAACGGUGAAAUUGUAAACAUGAUAGCAACACCCAAAACACCGCAGCAUUAACUCUAAACAGAAAGUGUAGGUCCUACUGAACAUCACAUGCUUGUUGCUGACUGGCGAGCUGGAGAAUACUUAUAUUAGUAGGAAAUAUAGACAAAAUAAAUCUACUGCUUUUUUUAUUCAUACGUAUAAUUAUCAAGUGCGUUCAUACGAUGAUAUUUUAAACAUGCUGGCAACUUUGCACUGUAUUUAUGAGUAAGCUGAAAAUCCAUCUAAGGGAAGCUGGGUUAUUCGUAAAAAAUUAACUUUGCAUUAAAAUGUUGUCACGAGACUAACUAUACAAAAGACUGGAAAAGUGCAAUUCUUUUUUUCUUGUGAAAGGCAUGAUCUCCCCUUCCUGUUCUGCUCUUGUUUCUCUUCAGUUUUGUUGUUGUGUUAUCUGAUUUGUUGUUGCAUGUUUGCUUUGUUAAUGUGUUUUGUUUUGUUUUUUUACUUACGGACCACUAUAGCUUGAGGGAGGGUGAAAGUUUAAACGCUGCCUAAACGGAAAUCAUACUUAAUUUUAUUCAUAUUCAGAAAAUCCCCAGGUCUCCCCCAUACAUGGUCCAAUUCACUGCAACCAAAUACAAGCAGAAGAGGAAAGCAGCACUUCCAAAUAUUGGCAUAUUCUAAUCACAAUAUAACUUAGGGGUUUUAAAGUGCAAAGAACAAAUAGACAUUUGUGCCACUUGGAUGAUAAUGAUCGUGACUAAGUGAUCACAACAUGCACAUCCUGGUUUUUGCAUGAGAGUGUAGAAGCAAUAGGCAACCUCAGUGCGCACACCUAUAUGCUGAAAGCUAUACAUCCUACGCAGACAGGCCUUCUUGUUACAAAACACAGCAGGGAACAGAUAUUUUUGUUCCUGUUCCUAAAACGGACUAGGCCUAAGAGUUUGCAAAAGUAAGAGUAAGCAUGGUUUAUGUGGAGAUUUACCCCUGAGUCAUCUUCAUUUUUAUUUGGCUCAAGGGAAGCAUUAUUCUGAACAAGUUACGCUACAGUAAAUGAUGAAAAGGGCCUACAGAAGAGAGGCGAGGACACACUACAUCCACAUAAAAGCAGCAAUGACAUCAAGUGCUUAGUAAUAAAAUUUACAAUGAAGCCAAUUCAUGUAAAAGUCCGCCAUAUAUCUUACCCUGUUAAAGCAUAUUAAGCUAUAUAAACUGCACAUUGAAGCAUUUUCAACUGAGUAAUAUAAAGUACAAAGCGCACUUUUAGCUGAGGUAGUAUUGGUAAGGUUAUAUUUCAGGAAGGUGAAAACACUCAUCAGCUAUAGAUAUAGAUCCUAUAUUUCAAAUUCCAAAUAUAAAUAAAACAUUCAGUCCGAAAGAAAUGACACAACUAGGUAAAGUUUCUAUACUCACAGCAGGUUGGCAGGUGAUCUGUGCGGAACAGCUGUCUUGUGUGUGUGUGUUGCUAGCCAGCAGCCUGAAUGCAAGUUUUUCCAGGUGAUCCAGAACCAAUGACAUCAUCCCUAUCGACACACACACCUGUUUCCUCAGGAAGCUCCUCCCACCUUGACAACGUUAAAGAGACAGGCCCACGUGGCGAGUCAUUCCCUAUUGGCCUGAUGCAAAUUCUGAUACACCACAAUAAACACAGUUUGUGAAGCCAUCACGCUGGCUGUACAUGAAUAUAUUUACAAAAGCAUAAAGAACACUCAUAUACCAGUGUCUCCCAUUUAACAACA